UGUGGAUACAAAUAUGUGGAUUUUUUGUCCACUACAACAGCAUUGGCCUUAAAUAGACCAUCAAGUAAAUAAUCCUUCCCAACAUACAUGCCCCCCUUAGUAAGUACAAAUCUAUCAAAUUCAAAUACCAUUUUAAAUCCUUUCUUACUAAGAAUAGCUCCUGAAAUCAAAUUCUUUCUGAUAUCUGGGAUAUGUACAACUUCAUUAAGCGUCAGUUCCUUUCCCGAUAUGAAUUUCAGAAUAACCUUUCCAAUCCCUUGAAUAUUGGAUGUUGUAGAAUUUCCCAUGUAAAGAAACUCAUUAUGAUUCAAGGUCUUGUAUUCAGCAAAUAGACCCUUAUCUGCACAGAUGUGAUGAGUGGCUCCUAUGUCCAACCACCAAUCCUCAGCAUUAGAUACCAAAUUAAUUUCAGAAACAACAGCAGAUAGGUUGAUGUCUCCAACAUCCGUAGAAAUUUAUCCACUUCGGUUAUAUUGGCUUGGGGCGAUUUCUUUUUCUGUGUAUCCUUCUUUUUGCUUCGACAGUCUUUAGCUCGAUGUCCCGACUUCCCGCAAAUAUAACAGUUGCUUUUGAACCAUUUUGCAUUGUUGACUUUUUCUUUGUCCGUAGAUGAGUCAGAACGCUUCCUUUUCUUGUUCUUAGACCCUGAGUCUUCCACCAUGUUAGUCUUUGCUUCCAUGUUGUAGACAUUAUUUUUCUUUUCUGCAGCCCAGUUAUCUUCUUCAAUGCGAAGUCGAACAAUUAGAUCUUCCAUCGUCAUCUCUUUACGUUAUGCUUGAGAUAGUUUUUGAAAUCUUUCCAUAGUGGAGGUAGUUUCUCGAUCAUAGCAACAAUCUGGAAAGAUUCACUCAAAGUCAUACCUUCAGCUUCA
rnacentral:lncRNA from 1 species